UCGUCCGCCCGGAUGACGUCCAAGUUCCAUCCCAGAAACACCCUCCCGUUCCAACUGCCGCACUGGCACCACCUACGAUCGCCCAACUUAAUAAGACCGUUGGAUUGCUACGACGUCGGCUUGGCAAGUUGAGGAAGCAGUUAUGUUGAAAGUACGAUGAACGAGAGGGGCUAUCCAAUGAAGAAGUGAAGGAAGUUGUGGAUAAGCUUGAUAAAAUUGAAGAAACCGACCCUAGUGCAAGAGAUUUGUUCGGGGAAAUUAAGAAGAAACCUGCACAAAAGAAGCAAAAGACCAAGUGAUUAACUAUUUAGUUUUGUUUCUUUUUCUGGACGGUGGUUGUUACGUCUUGAAAAAUUCCGAACUUGUUUUCGUUUGUACCUCAUGGUUAACUCUUUAGUUGUUUGGCUUGCUUUUAUUUUAUGUUACCUGGAUUAAGAACAUUUAAGCAGAAUCCAGUUGUUUGGUUUAUGUUGAAAAAUGUUUAGAUUUCUAGUGAUUGCGUUAUGUUGAACAUGUUUAGAUUUCUAGUGAAA